AUUGAACGCUGGCGGCAUGCUUUACACAUGCAAGUCGAACGGUAACAGGCCUUCGGGUGCUGACGAGUGGCGAACGGGUGAGUAAUGCAUCGGAACGUACCCAGAGGUGGGGGAUAACGCAGCGAAAGCUGUGCUAAUACCGCAUGUGAUCUGAGGAUGAAAGCGGGGGACCGAGCAGCAAUGUUUGGCCUCGCGCCUUUGGAGCGGCCGAUGUCGGAUUAGCUAGUUGGUGGGGUAAAGGCCUACCAAGGCGACGAUCCGUAGCUGGUCUGAGAGGACGACCAGCCACACUGGGACUGAGACACGGCCCAGACUCCUACGGGAGGCAGUAGUGGGGAAUUUUGGACAAAGGGCACAAGCCUGAUCCAGCAAUGCCGCGUGCGGGAAGAAGGCCUUCGGGUUGUAAACCGCUUUUGGCAGGAACGAAACGGUGUCCGCUAAUACCGGGCGCUAAUGACGGUACCUGCAGAAUAAGCACCGGCUAACUACGUG
rnacentral:rRNA from 1 species